CAGCACCUUCGCCGGUUCUAAAGGGAGGCUCUUUAAGCUGAGGAUGCUCUACAGAGAGGCUUAUUAUGAGCAAAUAAACAACUCAGAAGUCUCAGGAAGUUUAUCUGAAAUUUACCAGAUGCACGAAAGCUUCUCCUCCCCCAAGUCGUAAGUAUAGAUAUAAGUAGUGGGGGCUGCUGAGGAGCUUAGACCUGCUGAGCUGCCUGGAAGGGGCUAAAAACCAUCUGUAUGGAAGAGACUCUCUCUGCCCAACUGCGAUGCACGAGGAGAGGAACCUGACCUAUGGGUUUGCCUGAGAGGUCCCUGGAUACAGAACUGAGGUUGUUGGGCUGGAGAGACGGCUCAGCAGUUAAGAGCACUGAGAGGUCCUAAGUUCAAUUCCCAGCAACCACAUGGUGGCUCACAACCAUCGGUCAUGGGAUCCGAUGCCCUCUUCUGGUGUGUGUGAAGACAGCUACAGUGCACUCAUUAAAUAAAGAAAAGAAAGAACUGAGGCUGUCAGCUUCAACAGCAAGGGCUGAAGACCUUUCCUCUAUUUCUAUUUUUCCUGAGUUUCUUUUUAUUGUUAAAAUUAUAACCGAUUGUUGAAUUUUA